CCUGGACUGCAUAUGCGCACGCAGAUGAUCCACAGCGUGCACAUUAUGUGAACCAGUUAGCCAGAACUCGCUGCUCAGCUUAAUCAACAAAGGGUGCACUAUAAUUGAGGUGAAUAAAUUAAGUGAUCUUGAUCUCAUUUGCAGCCAAAAAAAUCAAUGCAAAAUCCUGACACGUCAAUGAUUGGAUUCAAAGAAGAUGGCUUGAAGAUCAAAUAAAAAACCAGGUCGCCAGAUACCAAUGUAUUGAUCAACGGAUAUAAUCAUUGUGAAGCACACCUGCUUCGUAAUUUAUUAUUAUUAUGUUGUUGUUGUUGUUUGGCAAUGCACUAGUGCAUGGAUGAAAAAGCAAGCAGAGGAAGAAACAGAACACAGUAGC